rnacentral:ncRNA from 1 species
UCAAAGGCUGUGACGGAGAAAAGUAAGCCGGCGCUAACGCCCAGGGAGGCAGGGGCAUUGACUGAGACCCUUGCCGCGUGAAGUCCGGAUGAAGUUCCCUCCCGAGCCGCUCAGGGGAAAGCCCUUUCCGGGCGAGUAGUUUGAGACGCAAUGCCAGCGUUACAGGGCAAACCAAUCGCCAGACAGGCUGGCCGUUGGAGUGAGUGGACCCGAAAGGUCAAACAGGGUGGUACCGCGGAUAAAAACCGUCCCUAUC